rnacentral:rRNA from 1 species
UGGUGGAGUGAUUUGUCUGGUUAAUUCCGUUAACGAACGAGACCACAGCCUGCUAAAUAGUCCGACAAACACUUUUGUGUUUGUAUUCGGAGCUUCUUAGAGGGACUGUCUGUAUCCAGCAGAAGGAAGUUUGUGGCAAUAACA